CCCUGCACUCUGGGACAAGCCCUGGAAACGGGGUCUAAUACCGGAUACUGACCCUCGCAGGCAUCUGCGAGGUUCGAAAGCUCCGGCGGUGCAGGAUGAGCCCGCGGCCUAUCAGCUUGUUGGUGAGGUAAUGGCUCACCAAGGCGACGACGGGUAGCCGGCCUGAGAGGGCGACCGGCCACACUGGGACUGAGACACGGCCCAGACUCCUACGGGAGGCAGCAGUGGGGAAUAUUGCACAAUGGGCGAAAGCCUGAUGCAGCGACGCCGCGUGAGGGAUGACGGCCUUCGGGUUGUAAACCUCUUUCAGCAGGGAAGAAGCGAAAGUGACGGUACCUGCAGAAGAAGCGCCGGCUAACUACGUGCCAGCAGCCGCGGUAAUACGUAGGGCGCAAGCGUUGUCCGGAAUUAUUGGGCGUAAAGAGCUCGUAGGCGGCUUGUCGCGUCGGUUGUGAAAGCCCGGGGCUUAACCCCGGGUCUGCAGUCGAUACGGGCAGGCUAGAGUUCGGUAGGGGAGAUCGGAAUUCCUGGUGUAGCGGUGAAAUGCGCAGAUAUCAGGAGGAACACCGGUGGCGAAGGCGGAUCUCUGGGCCGAUACUGACGCUGAGGAGCGAAAGCGUGGGGAGCGAA
rnacentral:rRNA from 1 species